rnacentral:rRNA from 1 species
UACGUAGGGUGCAAGCGUUAUCCGGAAUUAUUGGCGUAAGAGCUCGUAGGCGGUUUGUCGCGUCUGCUGUGAAAAUCCGGGGCUCAACCCCGGACUUGCAGUGGGUACGGGCAGACUAGAGUGUGGUAGGGGAGACUGGAAGUUCCUGGUGUAGCGGUGAAAUGCGCAGAUAUCAGGAGGAACACCGAUGGCGAAGGCAGGUCUCUGGGCCACUACUGACGCUGAGAAGCGAAAGCAUGGGGAGCGAACAGG